CUCACCUGUUCCCAUUCCGAACACAGAAGUUAAGCCCACCAGCGCCGAUGGUACUGCGAAAGCGGGAGAGUAGGUCGCCGCCAGUU
rnacentral:rRNA from 1 species